rnacentral:hammerhead_ribozyme from 1 species
AUCCAGCUGAUGAAUCCCAAACAGGACGAACUGGCGCGCUUCCUGGAU